CUUAACUGUAAAAUUGCCAUCGAUACUGUUAUUCUUGAGUACAGUUGAGGUGGGUGGAAUGUGUAAUGUAGCGGUGAAAUGCGUAGAUAUUACACAGAAUACCGAUUGCGUAAGCAGCUCACUAAACUGUUACUGACGCUGAGGCACGAAAGCGUGGGUAGCAAACAGGAUUAGAUACCCUGGUAGUCCACGCUGUAAACGAUGAUCACUCGCUGUUGGCGAUACACAGUCAGCGGUCAAGCGAAAGCGAUAAGUGAUCCACCUGGGGAGUACGUCCGCAAGAAUGAAACUCAAAGGAAUUGACGGGGGCCCGCACAAGCGGAGGAACAUGUGGUUUAAUUCGAUGAUACGCGAGGAACCUUACCUGGGCUUAAAUGCAUAACGACGUACCGGGAAACCGGUAUUCCUUCGGGCGU
rnacentral:rRNA from 1 species